GGUGCUAUAGUCUAGUGGUUAGGACGUCAGACUUUGACUCUGAAAUCCUCGGUUCGAUCCCGAGUAGCACCU
rfam:Aspergillus zonatus CBS 506.65 unplaced genomic scaffold ASPZOscaffold_2, whole genome shotgun sequence.